rnacentral:rRNA from 1 species
UGAAGGCUUUCGGGUCGAAACUCUGUUGUUAGGGAAGAACAAGUGCUAGUUGAAUAAGCUGGCACCUUGACGGUACCUAACCAGAAAGCCACGGCUAACUACGUGCCAGCAGCCGCGGUAAUACGUAUGGCAAGCGUUAUCCGGAAUUAUUGGGCAAAGCGCGCGCAGGUGGUUUCUUAAGUCUGAUGUGAAAGCCCACGGCUCAACCGUGGAGGGUCAUUGGAAACUGGGAGACUUGAGUGCAGAAGAGGAAAGUGGAACCAUGUGUAGCGGUGAAAUGCGUACGAUAUAGGAACACCAGUGGCGAAAGCGACUUUCUGGUCUGUAACUGACACUGAGGCGCGAAAGCGUGGGGAGCAAACAGGAUUAGAUACCCUGGUAGUCCACGCCGUAAACGAUGUGCUAAGUGUUAGAGGGUUUCCCCCUUUAGUGCUGAAGUUAACGCAUAAAGCACUCCGCCUGGGGAGUACGGCCGCAAGGCUGAAACUCAAAGGAAUUGACGGGGGCCCGCACAAGCGGUGGAGCAUGUGGUUUUUCGAAGCAACGCGGAGAACCUUACCGUCUUGACAUCCUCUGACAACCCUAGAGAUAGGGCUUCUCCUUCGGGAGCAGAGUGACAGGUGGUGCAUGGGUGUCGUCAGCUCGUAUCGUGAGAUGUUGGGUUAAGUCCCGCAAAGCGCAACCCUUGAUCUUAGUCCAUCAUUUAGUUGGGCACUCUAAAGUGAC